rnacentral:misc_RNA from 1 species
GAAAUGCGAUAAGUAGUGUGAAUUGCAGAAUUCAGUGAAUCAUCGAAUCUUUGAACGCACCUUGCGCUUCCUGGUAUUCCGGGAAGCAUGCCCGUUUCAGAAUCAGUAAGUUGGUCUCACAGGGAUCUGGUGCUUUUAUAAGCCGCUGGUCUUUGUGGAUGGUGGAUGAAUUUGCUUUGGGUUUAAACCAUGGCAAUCAUCUGGAAAGCAGUGUUCAUGCGCUUGUUUGAUCAAAGAUCGAUCCGCCAUCGAAAAAUGCAACAGAUUAUUUUCUAUUCGCUUUUCGCUGGCAAACCGAUCAGCAACAAGGUAUGUGCUUAACAUUUGUUUGAGGAUCGUGAUCCGAGUUCGGACCAUGCACCUUUUCAUUUGAUCUGAAAUCGGGCAAGAGAACCCGCUG